UACGAGGGGGGGCAAGCGUUGUUCGGAAUUAUUGGGCGUAAAGAGCUCGUAGGCGGUUCGUCGCGUCUGCUGUGAAAACCCGAGGCUCAACCUCGGGCCUGCAGUGGGUACGGGCAGACUAGAGUGCGGUAGGGGAGAUUGGAAUUCCUGGUGUAGCGGUGGAAUGCGCAGAUAUCAGGAGGAACACCGAUGGCGAAGGCAGAGUC
rnacentral:rRNA from 1 species